GAUGAACGCUGGCGGCGUGCCUAAUACAUGCAAGUCGAGCGAACAGACGAGGAGCUUGCUCCUCUGACGUUAGCGGCGGACGGGUGAGUAACACGUGGAUAACCUACCUAUAAGACUGGGAUAACUUCGGGAAACCGGAGCUAAUACCGGAUAAUAUAUUGAACCGCAUGGUUCAAUAGUGAAAGACGGUCUUGCUGUCACUUAUAGAUGGAUCCGCGCCGCAUUAGCUAGUUGGUAAGGUAACGGCUUACCAAGGCAACGAUGCGUAGCCGACCUGAGAGGGUGAUCGGCCACACUGGAACUGAGACACGGUCCAGACUCCUACGGGAGGCAGCAGUAGGGAAUCUUCCGCAAUGGGCGAAAGCUUGACGGAGCAACGCCGCGUGAGUGAUGAAGGUCUUCGGAUCGUAAAACUCUGUUAUUAGGGAAGAACAAAUGUGUAAGUAACUAUGCACGUCUUGACGGUACCUAAUCAGAAAGCCACGGCUAACUACGU
rnacentral:rRNA from 1 species